UUUAAAGUGAAUAAGGGCGUAUGGUGGAUGCCUAGGGUCUGAGAGGCGAUGAAGGACGUGGUAAGCUGCGAAAAGCUGCGGGAAGCUGCAUACGAGCAUUAUAUCCGCAGAUGUCCGAAUGGGGAAACCCGUUAUAUUGAAAGAUAUAACACUCGAAAGAGAGCAAACCUUGAGAACUGAAACAUCUAAGUAACAAGAGGAAAAGAAAACAAAUAGUGAUUCCCUAAGUAGUGGCGAGCGAAAUGGGAAUAGCCCAAACCAAGUUAGCUUGCUAAUUUGGGGUUAUAGGACUGCAUUUAGAAAUUAUUAUGAAGCAGAAUUUAUUGGAAAAUAAAGCCAUAGAAGGUGAUAGCCCUGUAAGUAUAAAAUAAUAAGGACGAGCAGUAUCCUGAGUAGUGCGGGACCGGAGGAAUCUUGCAUGAAU
rnacentral:rRNA from 1 species